AGCUCACCCCAAGGCCCGUUUGCUCAUCUACCAUGCCGGCAGUGCUGGCGUUCACGAGGCGAUCAAUUACGGUGUUCCGAUGCUACUCCUACCACUCGCUGGAGACCAGGGUGCAAAUGCCAAUCUUGUGGCUGAGAAAGGAAUGGGAAUUUCCCUCGAUCUAAACCAUCUGAAUGAAGACAUAAUCCGAACUGCCAUCCACGAUGUGUUGAAUGAUAAGAGGUAUAAAGACAAUGUUGUAAAGGCGUCUGGUAUCCUUCGAGACCGACUGGCCGGCCCUCUGGACACUGCUAUAUUCUGGAUAGAACACGUGGUCAAGUUCGGUGGAGAUCAUCUUCGUCUUCGUUCUACUGAAAUGGGAUUCAUUGAACUCAACUCCCUCGAUGUAGUCGCAUUUCUAGUCGUUUUAUCACUUACGCUUUUAUAUGUUGAUUAUCUUAUUUUACGAGGGUGUUAUCGGUGUCUAUGCAAAAGGGCAAGGAAACAAAAAAGUGACUGAUCAUUAGGCUAGUACUGGUCGUAACAUUUCGGCAUUCAAUGCAAUUUGCUCCAUUAUGACACAAAGUUUUCCAAUAAAAGUAUUUACUCUCAUUAUUAUUUCAGAAUAAAUUUUAUCGUGGAAAAGUUCUUCAAGAACUUUAGGAACUCUCUAUGAUAUAUUCCAUAUAAAUUAUAAUAUGACAAGCCAAGUGAGAUCCCCACAUGAUAAACUGGGUGUCUCAGAUGUAAUUCGUCAUAGAGGCAUCCAUUGUCCAAAACGAAAUUUAUUCGUGGUGGGAAUUUGAAGACUCUCGGUUGCCAUAGUUUGCAAAUAAUAUUUGGUAUAUACCAACGAAACCUUGCAAAUUUUGUUUUUUAAAGUAAACUGGUAUUCUUGAUUAUAAUUCUCUAUGAUAUAAAAUCGGACAGAAUGAGCGAUUAAAAUUAACUGAGAGGCAAUUUCGGCUUGCCAUAAAUCUAUUCCAGUAUUCGAUCAGUAGAGAAACUUAAAGGUCAAGUUCACCCCAGAAAAAUGUUUAUUUUGAUAAAUAGAGAAAAAUCAAACGAGUAUAACACUGAAAAUUUCAUCAAAAUCGGAUGUUAAAUAAGAAAGUUAUGACAUUUUAAAAUUUCGCUUAUUUUUCACAAAACAGUGAUAUGCACAACUCAGUUGAUGAUGUCUCUCACUCACCAUUUCUUUUGUUUUUUAUUGUUUAAAUUAUACAAUAUUUCUAUUCUUACAGAUUUUACAUUAAGGACCAACUUGACAGAAUCAUAAAAUAAACAAUGGUAAUUCCUCAAGUUCAGGGAGAAAUAAAACUUUGUUUUACAGGACAAUGAGGAGAAAAUUAGAAUAUUUCAUAUAAUAAAGUACAAAAGAAAUAAUGAUUGAGUGAUGUCAUCAGUUCCCUCAAUUGCACACCGACCGGGAUGUGCAUAUAACUGUUUAGUGAAAUUAAGCGAAACUUUAAGAUGUCAUAACUUUCUUAUUUUUCAUCCGAUUUUGAUGACAUUUUCAUUGAAAUGCUUGUUAGAUUAUUAUCUUUUUAUUCAAAUAAACGUUUUGUUGGGGUGGACUUGUCCUUUAACAAAAUGGUUUAAGAAAUACCCUCUGAUAUCAUCAUAAAUGUGCUUUUAUUUCUAUAUCAUGAUCAAUACGACAACGUAAAAGGCGUCACCUAUUUUCGAUAAAUGAAUUGUUUUAUAUCUUAUUUUGAUAAAUUUUGUAAAAGCGACGUAUGUUCUCUAUUUUUUACGUCCUCUCUAAGGUGACAAGUAUUUUGUAUUCAGUAUUUUUGUAUUUUGGAAAGCCAUUUCUGCUUCAUAGCAAAUUCACAUUGGGUUUUCUCCCCCACGAAUACUAAACUUACAUGACAGGGGCCGCGGAACGGUUUUCAAAGUGGGGGAGGCUGACCCAUGCAAAAAAUCACAAUCAUAUGGUCAUUUUUACGUUUUUGUACACGGUUUUUGAAAAAAGUGGGGGCUGAAGCCCCCCCCCCCCCUCCCGCUUCCGCGGCCUCUGCAUGAUAAACGUAAUCAAGUCUGGCGCCGUUUAAUUGAAAUCACUCUACUCGAGCUAAAGAUUAGAAUACAGUCUAUAUACCUCAACAAUACGUGGGUUUUUUGUAAUACACAAACAAUGUUCCUGUGAUAACAACAAGUUUCCCACUUGCAGAGGAAAAAUUAUUAUAAUACAGGUUGCAUGGUGCAAUAUUAUGAUUGUUAUAAAGUUAAUAUUGAUUUCAUUUUUCUGAGAAAAUGGCAUAUCAUGGAAAUUAUACCACAGUAUAACUGCUUA